rnacentral:rRNA from 1 species
UACGUAGGGUGCAAGCGUUGUCCGGAAUUAUUGGGCGUAAAGAGCUCGUAGGCGGUUUGUCGCGUCUGCUGUGAAAACUCGGGGCUCAACCCCGAGCCUGCAGUCGAUACGGGCAGACUAGAGUGCGGUAGGGGAGACUGGAAUUCCUGGUGUAGCGGUGAAAUGCGCAGAUAUCAGGAGGAACACCGGUGGCGAAGGCGGGUCUCUGGGCCGUAACUGACGCUGAGGAGCGAAAGCGUGGGGAGCAAACAGG